UACGUAGGGGGCGAGCGUUGUCCGGAAUUAUUGGGCGUAAAGGGUGCGCAGGUGGCCCGGUCAGUCAGUGGUGAAAUGCGGCCGCUCAACGGUCGAACUGCCAUUGAUACUGCCUGGCUUGAGAGGAGUGGAGGCCGCCGGAACGGACGGUGUAGCGGUGAAAUGCAUAGAUAUCGUCCAGAACGCCGAUUGCGAAGGCAGGUGGCUACGCUUCGUCUGACACUGAGGCACGAAAGCGUGGGGAGCGAACAGG
rnacentral:rRNA from 1 species